CCCACGACUAGGACCGUCCCAAACUUCCUGUUUCUUCCGGCCGCUCUGACCCCGGGGCUGCGGCUCCGAGAUAGCUCAGGGCCUGGAAGUGCAUGCUGGGACCAACUACAUAAUCCUUGGUAAGAAAAGGAGGUGGCCCUGACAAGUGCAACUCGAGAAAUGCAAUGCUGUAGAGUCCAAAGGUGUCUGACUUGAACGAAAUGAUCCCACUGGGGGACAAUGCAACAUAUACUCCAGGAUACCUUGACCACAGCCUUCUAGGCUUUCUUUGAGAGAUGGAAGAAACUGAAGGGCAUCUGACUACACUUCUUCACCCACUCUCCCAGGGUCAUGUUUUGUCAUGAUGCAGCAAGGAGAUCUGUUCCUAACUUGGACUUGGUUGUCUAACCCUCAUCUCUUCUCUUUAUUACAAGGUAAGCAUAGUGGAAAACAUAUUGGACUUAGAUUCAAACACACCUGAACCUGUAACUUAUGAGCCAGGUGACCUUGGGGGUAAGUAAAUUUAUUUCUCUAAUGGGGUUAAAUAAUGCCUACUCAAUGCUUUAAAAGAUUUUCAGUGUGGAAUAAGACUGCAAAUGCUUACAAUAAUAGCACUAAGACUAAUAACAGCUAACAGUUAAUUAUAUAAUGCUUACUAUAUGCUAGGCACUGGUAUUAAGGUCUUUACAUGAAGCACUCAAUAAAUAUUAGCUGCAGAGAAAUCUCACGGAAUUGACUAUAUAACCUGCCCUAACUGACGGGAA
rnacentral:lncRNA from 1 species